UACGUAGGCGGAAAAUUAAGUCAGUAGUGAAAUCCUGCAGCUUAACUGUAGAACUGUUAUUGAUACUGGUUUUCUUGAAUAUAGUUGAGGUAGGCGGAAUGUGUAAUGUAGCGGUGAAAUGCCUAGAUAUUACACAGAACACCGAUUGCGAAGGCAGCUUACUAAGCUAUGAUUGACGCUGAGGUACGAAAGCGUGGGGAGCGAACAGGAUUAGAUACCCUGGUAGUCC
rnacentral:rRNA from 1 species